rnacentral:rRNA from 1 species
CUACGGAAUCCCACCUCGCCGCCGCCAAACCCUCGCCCCUCUUCCACCAUAGCCCACCGAGCUCUCCCACGCCAGAAAUUCUCCGAGCGGGAGCUCGCCCCUUCCAACGCCGCGUCCUCCUCCAGCUCCACAGGGGCUGGUGUUCGUGAGAUUCCCGUUGGUUCCCGCGACCCCGCGCGCAGUAUCCCCUGGGUGGGCUCGUCCGCCAUGUUUCCGCCCAAAGGGCCCAAUCCCUAUGGGCAGCAGCCACCAUACGGCGGGCAGCAAUCUUACGGCGGCCAAAUCCCUGGUAGCAGUGGAUUUGGGGCCUCAGCUGCGGCAGGUGCCCGUGCCGGACAGGGUGCUGCUGGGCAGUAUGGAGGGCCUUACGCGUCGGUGUAUGGCACACAGCAGGUUGGGGGAGUUGGUGGCAAAGGGUCUAACUUGGCAAGACCAAACGAUGACUAUAUGGCUGUGCGUGGAUAUGCACAGAAGCUAGACCAGUAUGGUACUGAUUACACAUCAGAGAGAAGAAUGUAUGGUGAACACUCAGCUAAUCUUGGCAGGAGGGAUGGCCUUACUGAUUUGGAUAGAAGAUAUCCUGAUCAUCUACCUGCAGCCCAUCAGAUUCAUGACCGUGUGGAGCAGGGUUCAACAAUGCGCCAUCAGCCACUUCUGAAAGCUCAGCUGGCGCCUGUGUCUGAUAUGAGACAAGCCGAUUACUUUGCAGGAAGGUCUGCUCCAAUCCAUCAAGAAUCUCAGGAAAUUGGUACAUAUGGAAGGGCUGAAGCUGAGCAUCGCAACUUGUCCAUUCUUGGGAAUGUUCCAUAUGGAGGACAACAGACAUCUUCAUUGUUGGGAGGUGCCCCUAGGACAAACAUUGAUAGUCUUGGCUAUGGGCAAGGAUCAUCAAGCAGCGGUUAUGGGAUGAGUCUGCCCCCUGGACGUGACUAUGCCUCGGGGAAAGGCCUUCUCCAUCCAUCUUCAGAUUCUGAUUACCGUGACAACAUCUUACCCCGUGCACGUCAAGGCAUCUCCAUGGUUGAUGAACGUGCAAUUGACCGGAUUGGUUAUCGUCGUGAGCUGGAUCUAAGAGAUGAGGAUCGUCGAAGGGAUCUGCUACUUGAAAGGGAGAAGGAGCUUGAACGGGAGCGGGAACGGGAGUUGCGAGACCUUCGAGACCGUGAAAGAGAAAGAGACCGUGAAAGAGAAAGAGAACGUGAAAGGGAAAGGGACCGUGAAAGAUUAAGGGAACGUGAAAGAGAAAGGGAGCGGGAGCGUCAAAGGGAACACGAAAGAGAACGUCUUCGCGAGCGCCGCGAGAAGGAGAGGGAGCGGAACAAGAAGCAUGUAGCUGAUUCAAGGCGUGAGCGCACUCCACCUAGAACCCCUGGUGAUCGACGACGUUCUUCUUCUGUUAGGUCUGAGAAGCCUUUGCGGCGCCUUUCACCUCGACGUGAUGCUGUGCAUAGGCAUCGUUCACCUAUUAAAGAAAUAAAGAGAGAAUAUUUGUGCAAGGUUUUGCCAUUUCGGUUGGUGGAUGAUGAGAGAGACUGUUUAUCUUUGACAAAAAGAUAUCCUAGGCUAUCAGUUAUUCCAGAUUUUUCUAAGAUUGUCUUGAACUGGGCUAAAGAAAGCCUAAAUCUUUCACUGCAUACACCAGUGAGUCUGGAGCAUGCCAUCUGUGAAGAUGAUGAUAAAGCUGAUGAAAGUGCACUGGUCUCUUCUGAGAACACAUCAAGCAUAAAGACCCCUGAAACCAUUUGGAAUGCAAAGGUACUUCUGAUGAGUGGUAUGAGCAAUGGUGCCUUUGCUGACAUAACGUCGAUGAGAAGUACUGACGAACGAGUGGUGCACUUGAACAAUAUCUUAAAAUUUGCUGUAUUCAAGAAGGAUCGUUCACUUCUUGCUAUUGGAGGCCCUUGGAAUGCAGCACUUGAUGGUGGAGAUCCAUUGGUUGACUGUUCUUGCUUGAUUCGAACUGCUAUCAGAUAUGUGAAGGAACUGGUUCAAGUCGAUCUAUCUAAUUGUACCAGUUGGAAUCGUUUCCUCGAGGUUCAUUACAACAGAGUUGGCAAUGAUGGACUCUUUAGUCACAAAGAAAUUACUGUACUGUUUGUGCCAAACCUGUCGGAAUGCAUACCAUCUAUGGAUAUAUGGAGGAGCAACUGGAUUGCAUACCGAAAAUCAAAGAUAGAAAGGGAGCAGCUGAUUAUGAAGGAAAAGAGCCCAGGUGAUCCAAAGGAACAGAAACAAGUUUUAGAGGAGCCAAGCGAGGCUAAAAGUACGAAUGAUCAAUUAAAGGAGGGUGAUGGUGCUGCCAAGAUUGAGAAAAUUGAUGCUGAUAUGGAACUGAAGGAGGGUGAUGGUGCUGCCAAGAUUGAGAAAAUUGAUGCUGAAAUGGAACUGAAGGAGGGUGAUGGUGCUACCAAGAUUGAGAAAAUUGAUGCUGAUAUGGAAGAACAGGGCAAAGAUGGAGAUGUCAAUCUUGCUGGUGAUGGUGGGAAGAAUCCUGACAAUGUUGGGGAGCAAGUUGAGAAGAUUGUGGGGGUUGUUGAAGAGAACACUUCUGGUGAUGCUUCUGUUGACCAUGUCACCGAGGAUAAAAAGCCCUUGAAAAAGAAAAUAAUAAAAAAGGUUGUGAAAGUUGUUCGAAAAAAGCCAACUGCUGAAGCUCCAGUGGGUAAAUCGCCUCAGGUUGACAAGAAUGCCGUGGCAGAAACUGCGAGCAAAACCGUCCAAAAGCACAUUGAACAGAAAAGUGAGGAUCUUGGGAAAGAGAAGGCGGGAGCUGUCAUCGUUCAACAGCCUGAGGCUAAGAAAACUGGGAAGAAGAAGGUCAUUCGAAGGAUUGUUAAAAGAAAAGUUCCUGCUUCAGCGACUGAGCCAACAGCCCUUGCUGCACCUGCUGAAGCAAGUAAACAAGAUGUGGAUGUUCAGCCAGAGAAGAUUGCUGAAGGCAUCACUGAUGCUGGGAAUUCACAGACUAAGCUGGAAGAAGGAUUGAAAAUUCCCACUGAAGAUAUUUCAAACCAGAAGAAAGAAGGAUUGAAAACUCCUGCUGAAGAUAUUUCAAACCAGAAGAAAGAGGAAGGAUUUAAAACUCCUGCUGAAGAUACCUCAAAUCAGAAGAAAGAACAGGAGCUGGAGAUAAAGGGAGACAUAAUGACUGAUGAUCAAAAGGCAAAUACAGAUAAUGUUAACCAGCAGGAAGUUGUAGAACAGAAAGAUCCGAAAAUUGAUGAAACAAACGAAAAGAGUGACCAGAAAAAGGAUGACAACGAAACAAAGGAUAAAGACCAGAAGAUGGACUCAAAGAAAAAGUCGCCCAUUGACACCAAAGAAAAGAAGAAGUCUGAUGAGCCUCCGAAACACCCAGGAUUCAUUCUCCAGGCCAAAAAGAGCAAAGGAUAUAAACUCCGUUCAACAUCCCUUUCAUUGGAUGGCCUCCUGGACUACACCGCCAAUGAUACAGAGGAGUCUGUAUUUGAGCUUUCUUUGUUUGCCGAGUCUUUCAGCGAAAUGCUUCAGUACAGAAUGGGUUGUGUGAUCUUGUCUUUUCUUGAGAAACUUUACAGGCAGUAUGUUGUGAGGAGGAAUCAACGUAAGCGCCAAAGAGAGGAAGAUCUAAAGAAGGAAGACACAAUAUCCUUGGAGAAGCGACUAAAGACAACUGAUGAGAAUGUAACUGGAAGUACCUCAGGUAACCCAGGUAAAAAUGAUGAAACAAUAAAAGAGGGUGGAGAAAAGAUAAUUGGCGAUAAUUCAUCAGCUUCCCAUGAGCAACUGGUCAAAGAGGAUGAUGAGAAGAUGAGUACAGAUCAUGCUGCCCAGGAUGAAAUGAUGAAAGAGGGAGAGGAAAAGAUUGAUGCAGAUCAGUCAGCAGCUGCCCAUGAUGAACCUAAAGCUGAUGAGAAAAUGGAGGAAGAAGAUCCUGAAUAUGAAGAAGAUCCCGAUGAAGUAGAAUAUGAGGGCGACGAGGACAUGGAUGAUGCCACUGCUGAAGAGCCGGCAGAAGCACAGAAUGAGGAUAACUCAAAUGAAAGAGAAACCAAGCCAGAAGAGGUAACCGCAGAAGAUGACGGAAAGAGGACAACGGAGAAUCUUAAAUUGGAAAAAACAGAAGAGGACACGCAGUCUGUAGCAGAGAAAGGAGAUUUGAAAGAAGUUGAAGAGAAAUCUGCUGGUAAGGAGGGAAAGAUAUCUGGAUCACAGAAAGGAGAUUCAGCGAAACAUGAUGUGGUUGAUAAGGACCUGUUGCAGGCUUUUAGGUACUUCGACCAAAACAGAGUUGGUUAUAUAAAGGUGGAUGAUUUAAGGUGCAUCCUUCACAACUUGGGGAAAUUUUUAUCCAACAGGGAUGUGAAGGACAUGGUUCAAAUUGCUCUUGCUGAGAGCAAUUCUUCAAGGGAUGGUCGCAUUAUCUAUACAAAGCUUGUCAAGAAAGCUGACCUCUAAUCUGGACCUGGUUUUGGCCCUAGCAGCUCGUUGAGUUAUGGAACUUGUUUGUUGGAGAUUCUUGACAGUGAAUCGAUGAUCAAUGGAAAGUCAGCCGAAUAGUGUACUUCUAUGUAGCUGGGAGCUAGUUUUCAUUUCUUUGAAUGAAUAUUUGUUACUUAACAAAAAUUGAUAUCGUUUGUAUGUUGACCUACUAGAAAAUUUUCAUUAGAUUUUUUUUUCACAAAGCAAACAUAAUGGCCUAAUAAUAAUAACAUUUGCUGGUGUUGUAUUUUCGAUUUUCUUGUGGCACCACACAAU